UGGGGAAUAUUGGACAAUGGGCGAAAGCCUGAUCCAGCCAUGCCGCGUGUGUGAAGAAGGCCUUUUGGUUGUAAAGCACUUUAAGUGGGGAGGAAAAGCUUAUGGUUAAUACCUAUAAGCCCUGACGUUACCCACAGAAUAAGCACCGGCUAACUCUGUGCCAGCAGCCGCGGUAAUACAGAGGGUGCAAGCGUUAAUCGGAAUUACUGGGCGUAAAGCGCGCGUAGGUGGUUAUUUAAGUCAGAUGUGAAAGCCCCGGGCUUAACCUGGGAACUGCAUCUGAUACUGGAUAACUAGAGUAGGUGAGAGGGGAGUAGAAUUCCAGGUGUAGCGGUGAAAUGCGUAGAGAUCUGGAGGAAUACCGAUGGCGAAGGCAGCUCCCUGGCAUCAUACUGACACUGAGGUGCGAAAGCGUGGGUAGCAAACAGGAUUAGAUACCCUGGUAGUCCACGCCGUAAACGAUGUCUACCAGUCGUUGGGUCUUUUAAAGACUUAGUGACGCAGUUAACGCAAUAAGUAGACCGCCCGGGGAGUACGGCCGCAAGGUUA
rnacentral:rRNA from 1 species